GAUGAACGCUGGCGGCGUGCUUAACACAUGCAAGUCGAACGAAGCACUCUACUUGAUUUCCUUCGGGAUUGAUUGUUCUGUGACUGAGUGGCGGACGGGUGAGUAACGCGUGGAUAACCUGCCUCACACAGGGGGAUAACAGUUGGAAACGGCUGCUAAUACCGCAUAAGCGCACAGCACCGCAUGGUGCAGUGUGAAAAACUCCGGUGGUGUGAGAUGGAUCCGCGUCUGAUUAGCUGGUUGGCGGGGUAACGGCCCACCAAGGCGACGAUCAGUAGCCGGCCUGAGAGGGCGACCGGCCACAUUGGGACUGAGACACGGCCCAGACUCCUACGGGAGGCAGCAGUGGGGAAUAUUGCACAAUGGGGGAAACCCUGAUGCAGCGACGCCGCGUGAGCGAUGAAGUAUUUCGGUAUGUAAAGCUCUAUCAGCAGGGAAGAUAAUGACGGUAC
rnacentral:rRNA from 1 species